UACGUAGGGGGCAAGCGUUGUCCGGAUUUAUUGGGCGUAAAGAGCGUGUAGGCGGCUUGGUAGGUCCGCUGUGAAAACUCGAGGCUCAACCUCGAGAUGUCGGCGGAAACCACUUGGCUAGAGUCCGGAAGAGGAGAGUGGAAUUCCCGGUGUAGCGGUGAAAUGCGCAGAUAUCGGGAAGAACACCUAUGGCGAAGGCAGCUCUCUGGGACGGUACUGACGCUGAGGAGCGAAAGCAUGGGGAGCGAACAGG
rnacentral:rRNA from 1 species